GUCUAUGGUCAUACCACCUUGAACAUGCCUGAUCUCACCUGAUCUCAGAAGCUAACCAGGGUCAGGCCUGGCUAGGACUUGGAUGGGAGAAAAAAAUGGCCACCAGUAACAGUGGAUU
ensembl:rRNA 5S_rRNA 5S ribosomal RNA